rnacentral:rRNA from 1 species
UACGUAGGUGACAAGCGUUGUCCGGAUUUACUGGGCGUAAAGAGCGCGCAGGCGGUCGAUCAAGUCGAGUGUGAAAGCCCCCGGCUCAACUGGGGAGUGUCGUGCGAUACGGGCGGACUGGAGGCCAGUAGGGGGAUGCGGAAUUCCGGGUGUAGUGGUGGAAUGCGUAGAGAUCCGGAGGAACACCAGCGGCGAAGGCGGCAUCCUGGACUGGUCCUGACACUCAGGAGCGAAAGCGUGGGGAGCGAUCCGG